GCCCGUUUAGCCUAGUGGUGAAGCGUCGUCAGUCUUGUAAAUUGAAGGUCGGCGGUCCGAUCUCGGCAUCCGGUU
rnacentral:tRNA from 1 species